UUACAGGCACGGGAAUGGUAACUGGGGUACCAUUUGCUGCAGGUGCACUGACAAUCCUUUGUCCACGUUCUUCAGACGGUUUAAAGUAAAUGGUGAUAGUUGACGCUGUUCCACGAUCUUUUACAGCCCUACUGAAUUGCAAACAACCUUCAUCCAUCAUACCCUGGAUACCGGUCCUCAACUGGUCGCAACCAUUCUCAGAUUCUGCACAGCCCAAACAAU
rnacentral:lncRNA from 1 species